rnacentral:misc_RNA from 1 species
UCCUCAUCUUUUGUGAUUGGUCCACCAACAUUCUGCUUCAGGGAAUAGUUUGGGGCCCCUUGUUUCAAGUUCUGUUUCGGUUUCUUUAUCCCAACCCUUUUCGGUGAUUUAACACCACUAGUAGAAUGGUUCAGCUUCUUUGAAUUUNNNNNNNNNUAAAGAUUCUCGAUUGCGUUUCUUCAUGGCUGACCGUAGCUUCCGCGGAACAGAAAUAUGAUCACCGCCAUUGCAGUCAUCAAAAAAUUGCUUUCUGGGUAGGUUGAAUCUCUUAAUGGUACCACUACUACGGACAGAAGAAGGAGCUUGUGAAGGAAAGGCCUGUUCUCUAUCAGUUAAUUCGCAAUCCAUUUCAUAAUCGUCCCCGUUGCUUGAAGUUGCUUUACCGUUCGAACC